rnacentral:lncRNA from 1 species
UCUGAGGUUGGAUUCGAUGAUCUUGAGGUCUCUUCCAACCUAGAAAUUCUGUGAUUCUGUGAUUUUUUCUUUUUCUAAAAAUUCUAGCCAUUUGUAAUCUAGACAGCUGCCACUUUGUGUGCUGAACUCUGAUACCACAUACAAAUACAUUUAAUUACUUCUUUGUAGUCCAAGUCUGUUUGUGUGGUGUGAUCAAUGAAAAAUUUCUGGCUUCCAUGACCCAUAACACAUAUUUUUGUACAUUAGUACUGUAAAACGUUCAUCAAUUAUCAAUAAAGUUGCAGGGACUUUUUUUUUUUUUUUUUUGGACAGGCCUGCCUGAAUGGAUAAAUGAAACAAAACAGAUGCCAGAAGCUAUCCGGAUGGUCACAAUUCCCAGAUCCCUGUCCCUUCGCAGAGGCAUUGCUGAGAAAACCCACAGCACUGUACAAAGGAAACAUACCAUUUCAGAUUUUUGAACUGCCUCGCGUGUAAUUGAUGAUCAGAAACAUCGAUAUGGAGUAUGAAGGAUCAAAUUUUAAAACAACGUUGAAAUAUCUCAUCUGAUUGAAUGAAGCUGGAAAACUGAUGAAACUCCAUGAAAUGGUGUUGGCGUUAUCCCUUAGAACAUAUCUAGUGAAAAAUGCAGUAUGUCACAUGUCUGUGGAAAUCAUGGAUGAGAAGUUUCAGAACAAUAUUUCUUCACCUUCCGAGGAGUUCAGGCGUGCCUCAGGUGUUUGUCCUGUCUGAACACCUGAAGUCCAUUAAUCAUCACUGUCUUAUCAUUGUAAUAUUACUAAUGGAUGUCCAAGACAGAAGUGACCCACCUGAUUUUUAGGAGAACACAUUUUCUUUAAAAUGUUGCUGCUGCUCUGUUAGCAACAUUUUGAAUUAAAAAUGUAGAAAUAAACUCAUCUUCGUUAAACA